ACUUUCUAGAUGUUAAAUAGCUUCUAGCUGAGGACAAGCGUGGAACACCAGAGACGUACCCAGAGAAAGAGAGAAGAGGGCCAAGAAGGUGUAUUCACUGAUGGGAAGGCAUCGUCCCAGUGUUUCCUUGGGGUUGCCUGAGCCACACUCUUCAAAAACAUCUCGGGAGCAUCGCUUGGUAUCCAUUCAUUUAUUCAUUAAAUAAAAAUCUUUGUCUUGUGCCUGACAAGAUAGCCUAUCUCUUGGCACAGAGCAGAUGUUCCAUGAAUGUUAGUUAUGUUAUUAUCGCUAUUGCUUCCAGAAGUGCAGCUGCUGCUACUACCGCAUAUCAUGUUAGACACUGUGCUGCAUUCUGGGGACAGAGAGGGGCAAAACCUGUCCUCUGGCCUCAGGGAAUUAUAGUCUAGAAGAGGGGGCAGGGAGUCGAGCGGCAGGUCAGGACACAGCCUCACCAGUGCUAAGCCACGGUAGACCAGACUUCCAUGGGAGUCCAGAGAAGACUGGUGGCCAGGGAUGGGUGCUGCUUCUAGACAGAGUCAUAACUAAGCGCGGUCUUGAGGAACAAAUCGACGCUGGUCGGGGGAACUGUCAGAGUUUUAACUGCGAGCAACAGAAAUAGACCGGAGCCGGAAACCGCAGAGCCGUCAGCUGGCCACACAGUCUCUAGGAAGGCCACAGAACCUUUGGGAAAAACAGUGCCGAGGUGAUAUGAGGCUGUUGGUGCUGUGGCAUUGGAGACGGCUCCGGGAAACUGCACGCUGCGGCCAUCGCCCCCACCACGGCCAGGAGGGAGUCUUCCCUGCCCCGCCUCUGGGUGGCAUUGCUUCCAGAAUCCACAUCCCAGACUGCACGCCCCCUCCAGCCGGUCAUGCUGCAAAUAUAGGUUCCUGUCAUGGGGAAUAUUGGGAAAAAUAUGAAUUCGAACGCGUCACUCUGGGAAAGAUGAUUCGAGGCACAGAUUGGAAGGAGGAAUGGACAAUGACAUCCAUAUGUGUUUAUUACAGUAGUAAAGAAUGGUUGCUAUGACUGUCACAGGAACUAGGAACUUCUCCCGAGCUCUGCUAAAGCCGUUGAAAAAAGAAAAACAAUCUAAUAUGCCGGGAAUAAAAGCAAGCGUGGCUCAUUCCUCAUCAACUACUCCAGCUGAGCCUUCUCCACGUCUGUCAGCUGGGGGAUUCCAUUCUCUAGCUGCAGUGCACCGAGACUCCUCGAGUGUAAUGCCAUUACAAGGAAUUAAAAAAAAAAAAAAAACCACAUCGUUGAAUUUGGUAUAGUUUGAGUGGCCAAUGGGUUUGUCUUUGAAGCAUUAUUUCAAGUGGUUACAUUUUUAAGUAUUUCAAUGAUUGGGUUAUUUGGAUAGUAAAUAUAAGAAAAUUACUCACGUUGGGAAAAUUCUGUAAUAAGACUAAUGGAGUUAAAAAUAGUUAAUUAUGGGUACUUGAGUAUUCUGCUGAUUUGGGAGUUAAUAUAUAGGCUAUAGAUACAUUCUCUCUCUAUAUCCUCUCUUCUCUUAUUUAGUUCUCUGUCUGAUUGUAUUUUGAAUUUACUACUAUGGUAGGCAGAAUAAUGCCCCCUGUAUUUACAUCUUAAUCCCAUGAACCUGUGAAUAUGUGACCUUACGUGGCAGAGGGACUUUACUGAUGUGAUUAAGGUCAAGGAGCUUGAGAGGAGAUGAUCCUGGAUUCCCCAGAGGGGCCCCAGUUUAAUUGCAUGAGUCCUUAAAAGUGGAUGAAGAAGGCAGGAAAGUGGGUCAGAGAGACGUGAUAUGAAAGGACUCUUCUGGCUUUGAAGAUGGAGAAGGGAACCAUGAGUCAAGGAAAGCGGGCAGGCUUAAGAAGCUGGAAAAGCCAAGAAAGGAGUUGCUUCCCUAGAACCUCCAGGAAAACAACAACAAACAAACAGAGCCUUGUCAACAUCUUGAUUUUUGCCCAGGACUUUUGACUUACAAAACUGUACGAUAAUAAAUUUAUGUUGUUUCAAGCCACUAAGUUUGUGGCAAUUUGCACAGCAAAAACAGAAAAGCAAUAUAGUGGGCAAUUUCCAGACAUCUUUAGCUGUCAAGUUAGGGAAAAAAGUCGAAAAUUUGGAAGCUCUCAUUGUACAAAAGAAUUUCUCUGCAACU